UUCCCUAGUAGCGGCGAGCGAAGCGGGAAGAGCUCAAAUUUAUAAUCUGGCACCUUCGGUGUCCGAGUUGUAAUCUCUAGAAGUGUUUUCCGCGUUGGACCGCACACAAGUCUGUUGGAAUACAGCGGCAUAGUGGUGAAACCCCCGUAUAUGGUGCGGACGCCCAGCGCUUUGUGAUACACUUUCAAUGAGUCGAGUUGUUUGGGAAUGCAGCUCAAAUUGGGUGGUAAAUUCCAUCUAAAGCUAAAUAUUGGCGAGAGACCGAUAGCGAACAAGUACCGUGAGGGAAAGAUGAAAAGCACUUUGGAAAGAGAGUUAACAGUACGUGAAAUUGUUGGAAGGGAAACGCUUGAAGUCAGACUUGCUUGCCGGAGCUUGCUUCGGUUUGCAGGCCAGCAUCAGUUUUCCGGGGUGGAUAAUAACGGUUUGAAGGUAGCAGUCUCGGCUGUGUUAUAGCUUUCCGUUGGAUACAUCCUGGGGGACUGAGGAACGCAGCGUGCUUUUUGCGAAAGACUCGUCUUUUUCACGCUUAGGAUGCUGGUGGAAUGGCUUUAAACGACCCGUCUUGAAACACGGACCAC
rnacentral:rRNA from 1 species